ACCCCCAGCCAUUUAACUUCAAUCAGAAUUUUCAACCCUAUAUCUGCGCGCUCCAAAACACCCAACAAGCACCUACGAAACAGUUUUCAGGCUCUUCACUUCAAUGAGUAGAUAUCAAUAAUAAUACCAAUUACUCUCUUUAAGAGCAGAAAUGUCAUGGCAGUACCCCAACAAUCUUUCUUCUUCUCUGUAAAUCUAUCUGGUAUGCCCUGUUAACUCCCAAACACCAAAAUUUUGAGGUUUACAAUUUUCAUCUGGCACCCACGUUGUAAACGGAUGCCCUACCUGAUCCAUUUCAAAUCCAGCCGGAGGGUCAAAAAGAAUUCAUUCUAUUUUAUGUUCAGAUUUCUGUAUGUCCGUUGUUAAAGCUAGGUCAAAACAUUGGUGAAAUUCUUCGCCCACAAAAUCAAGUUGUUGUGGAUGCGGAUGCCACCCCGUCUUAGUACUUGCUGACUUUCUCCAUGGUAGUCUCCACAUUAGAGCAUCCACUAAACCUCACAUAUGACCUUUACAUGGUACUGAAGUGGCAAUUUCAUAAUCAGUCAAAUUCCCUUGGAUAAUAGUUGCUUCCCUAAGCAACCUUACGCCCUCAAUUGCAUCUGCUAUCCCACUCAUUAGAUUGAUGGAUUUGAUAAAUAUGGGCUUUGAUUUCAACAUGGCAACUUCAUAGACCAUCAAGUUUCUAAGUAUGACUAUGGAGUCAACAUUCAUGGUGAUAAUAGGAAGGUAUAAGGUUGAAGAACCUUGUUCAAAUUUAAUCCUAUUGAUACCCGCUUGGAUUGGGCUGCAUCUGACUCUGGCAUAACACCAUAAUUUAGACGUUGUAUAGCUCUGAUAUUCUUGCUCUCUUUGUCUCCAUUUCUUUCCUUGCUUUUACUAAAUAUCCCUAAAUUUUUUUUUACCAUGGCAUGUUUGCUACAACCCGAUUAAUAGACUUUACAAGUUUUUGCACGUUUCUUGGGCCAA